ACUUGUGCUCUUCCGAUCUGGUGGUUUUCCCAGGGCGAGGCUUAUCCACUGCACUCCGGAUGUGCUGACCCCUGCGAUUUCCCCAAAUGUGGGAAACUCGACUGCAUAAUUUGUGGUAGUGGGGGACUGCUCUGGAAGAGC